AUGACUUUUGGAGCUUCCACCGAACUUUCACACUAUCUUGCAGUACCAUCCGUUAGACCUAAUUCUCGCUACUCUCAAUGCACCGCCGGAAUCGCUUCACCUACAUGCUUGAUGUUGAACCGAAAUCGCGAGAAGGCUUCAAAUGGGGUCGGUGAAAAAAAGGAAGAAGCUGCGGCGCGAGAGGUAGAAGGAGAAGAACGCCGGAUUGGAAGCUGUGGUAGCCGCCGUCGCGAUUUUGAGAAGACAAAGGGCCAUCUGAGGCCCAUUGAAUUUUUAAUUCUGAAUUGUUUACAAUAA
rnacentral:lncRNA from 1 species